UACGUAGGGUGCAAGCGUUGUCCGGAAUUAUUGGGCGUAAAGAGCUCGUAGGCGGCUUGUCGCGUCGACUGUGAAAUCCCAGGGCUCAACCCUGGCCUGCAGUCGAUACGGGCAGGCUAGAGUGCAGUAGGGGAGACUGGAAUUCCUGGUGUAGCGGUGAAAUGCGCAGAUAUCAGGAGGAACACCGGUGGCGAAGGCGGCUCUCUGGGACGUGACUGACGCUGAGACGCGAAAGCGUGGGGAGCGAACAGG
rnacentral:rRNA from 1 species